UCGCGGGCGGGCGGUGGUGGCGCGUGCGCGCGCGGGCGGUGGCGGGGCUCGCUUGAAGCGACGCGACUGGCCUUGUGGAAGCGCUGCCGCCGUCUCUUUGUUCUUUCGCUGAACACACGGCGCCUCUCAGGAAGGCGGUUUAAGGUUCUCCAACUAAGUCAGACACUGCCACCUGACUUGACAUUGCAAUAAAAUGAUAGUCACUUCAUGGAAGCCACCACUAAAUAUACCAAUUACCAGAAUUUUGGGGGCUGUCCAGAGCUCCUGAAACCCAUCUGUGGGUGACUGACUACAUGAAGAAGGCCGGCCUAAAGUCAGCUCAGUCUUUCAACCUGGACUUCCACAGUAUACAGCUCCUGGGUUCUGCUCUGCUUUUUCCAGUUAGUUGUGUUGUGAGUCUGUUGGUUGCUGAUUCUAUAUGUGGUAGUAUAAUUCCUUCUCUCUGUAACUGAGCUUGUAACUGAAAAAAAUGACAUGACAAUGCCUAAAAUCAUACAACAAGAAAAAUGGAAUUUUCACUAUUUUCAUGGUUCAUUAUGUUGAAAAUAAAAAGACCAAAAGUUAAAGACUGA